rnacentral:tRNA from 1 species
GCCUGGGUGGCUCAGUCGGUUAAGCGUCCGACUUCAGCUCAGGUCACGAUCUCGCAGUCCGUGGGUUCGAGCCCCGCGUCGGGCU